rnacentral:tRNA from 1 species
GCGCCCGUAGCUCAGCUGGAUAGAGCGUUUGACUACGGAUCAAAAGGCCGUGGGUUCAAAUCCUACCGGGCGCGCCA